GCCUCCACCUCUUUCAUCUCCGUACCUGUGCUCAGCAGCUCGUUGCACAAUCUAUAGAGUCAGAGGCACGAGAUUAAGCACAAGGAAUCCUUGCGCCUCGUUUGCUUGUGCAGCGAGCGCCUUUGUGCAGUGAGCGCCUGUGCUCGGCCCAGCAGUGGGGACGGUUGCAGCAGCACACCUUGCUGGAAUUACUAAAUUCUGGGCAGAUGGGCGAGUCCACUCCAUGGGAGGCUGAUAUGUGAAACUCAGCCGUGUUUGCGAGAGCAAAGUUCAGCUCAAGGCACCACCUGUCAGGUCAGGAAUAGGAGUCAUAGCAGGAGGAACCUUCCAUGUCUUAACAAGUUAAGCAAGCAAAGGAGGAGGGGAGAAGCGCGUUGCUCUUUACAGCGGCACAAUAACCUGGAGGGACAGCUUGCAUGCAGCCAAACGCUGCAGCUAAAACACGUUCUGCCAGUGGUGGUGUGUAAGGUCACAGGCCAACCGUCCGAUCUGCCGGGCUUAAAUUACGCUUCCGCGGGGCACAAGCUGGUGAAGGAGGGAAAGGUAAGGCAUCCUCCCUGCCCUACCCUGUAUACAAGCAUAAAAACCUUACCCUGGCACCGAACAGAGCCCCAUAGGCUCUUCCUUUGAUCACUUCAAGGGGCCCCGUCUGCAGCGUUGUGGUGGGUAUCCCUGGUGUAACCAGUUUGUUAACAGCCAGAAGAAGCUUUCUGGCUCCAGUCAAAGCAAACAGAGGAAAACCAGGAGCCUACUGACAGUGAACUUCAAACGAUGCUAGACCCAGGUUUGCUCACCUUCCACAUAGUCAGUUCAACGCGUGAAUUUUGAGCAUCAAACUUUAAAAGCCUUCCUCAAAGCCUUGCUUGGGGAGACGCUGAGCAGCAUCUCUCGCCAAACUCAGUUCCCUUCUUUUCUAUCACCAGAAUGUCAGCCCUGUGUCUACCCUGAAGCCUUUUCUGUGGUCAUCCACCCAACUUCAUCCUCCCCCAGGGGGAAAGCGGAAGGGGUCCCUGUGUUCGUGUGUGAGGAUCUGAAUGUUUCUGUCUUUCCUUCUGGCAGUUACCUGCCCCUCCUUGCUGCCUAUUAUCCAGCACAGCAGCCUGGCACCUGGGUUUGCCCGGACUCCCAUCUGCCUAUUCAUCAUUUGGCCACAGUUGAAUGAAAAGAAGAAGAAAAAAAGGGAGGAGGGGUAAAAAAAAAGGAGGGAAAACAAAGUCUUUCAUCUUCAUAGCAGCAAGAUUUCAGAUCUAAAGAGCUGGGACUCUCAGCUGCUUUAAAUUGAGGGUUAUGGCUGCCAACUGCCAAUCUGAAGCUGCAUAUUACCUUUCAUCCAGUCCUGCGUUGUUCAGGCCAUAGCUUUUCUUGCCUUUUGUUUCCUCUCGGAUCGGUUAAGUGGAAGCAGGUGUUCUCCUGCCCUGCUAAUCUCUAGUACAUUCAGGCAGGCCCAGCAACUGGGCAGGUAAAUGGAGCCCAGCGCUGGUGGCCACGGCAAUGUCUCCGCAAGCAGCCCUGACAAAUGUUCUCCCUUCUGAGUGCACUUCCAUUUUGCGUUGUCUCCGUCAUCGCUCUUCCUCUUCACAUGGACCUUUG
ensembl:lncRNA